AGAUCACACUUAAGUUCAGUAAAGUCUUCACCAAUAUCGGCCAGGCCUACAGCCCAACUACAGGUAUCUUCACAGCCCCAGUCAGAGGAGUCUACUACUUCAGAUUCACACUGUGGGGGGGGCGCCCUUCAGCUUGGAUGGGUGCUUAUUUGUAUCACAAUGAGAAGAAAAUGACACUUAGUUACGAUUACAAUGAUGAACACACCUAUAUAUCUGCGUCUAAUGCAUUAAUUCUUCAACUGGAAAAGGGAGAUGUGGUCUACUUGGCUCUCUACCCAGGCAGUGGUGUUUUUGAUGAUUCAUUUAAUCGUACCAUUUUUAGUGGAUUUCUGCUUUUUGCUCUGUGAAGUCACCUGUAAAACAUCCACAGUCAAUUGCAUUAAGUUUUGACAUCACACUAUAAAAAUUUGUGUGCUAAUUAAAUCCAAAAUAAUCUGUUG